UACGGAGGAGGCAAGCGUUAUCCGGAGUUAUUGGGCGUAAAGCGUCCGCAGGUGGCACCUCAAGUCUGCUGUCAAAGACCGGGGCUUAACCCCAGAAAGGCAGUGGAAACUGAAGUGCUAGAGUGCAGUAGGGGUAGAGGGAAUUCCCGGUGUAGCGGUGAAAUGCGUAGAGAUCGGGAAGAACAUCGGUGGCGAAAGCGCUCUGCUGGACUGCAACUGACACUCAGGGACGAAAGCUAGGGGAGCGAAUGGG
rnacentral:rRNA from 1 species